rnacentral:snoRNA from 1 species
UUGCCGGUGUCUUACAGCUGCUGAUCUGACAAUGUUCAGCAGCAGGAAUGAAUAAAACUGGCAGAAAUCAAAGUCAGAUAUACGAGCCUUCUGGACUCAACAUAUAGUCCUUAAGGUCCCUAAAAUGACUACAUUG